AGUGAACGCUGGCGGUAGGCCUAACACAUGCAAGUCGAACGGCAGCACAGUAAGAGCUUGCUCUUACGGGUGGCGAGUGGCGGACGAGUGAGGAAUACAUCGGAAUCUACUUUUUCGUGGGGGAUAACGUAGGGAAACUUACGCUAAUACCGCAUACGACCUACGGGUGAAAGCAGGGGAUCUUCGGACCUUGCGCGAUUGAAUGAGCCGAUGUCGGAUUAGCUAGUUGGCGGGGUAAAGGCCCACCAAGGCGACGAUCCGUAGCUGGUCUGAGAGGAUGAUCAGCCACACUGGAACUGAGACACGGUCCAGACUCCUACGGGAGGCAGCAGUGGGGAAUAUUGGACAAUGGGCGCAAGCCUGAUCCAGCCAUACCGCGUGGGUGAAGAAGGCCUUCGGGUUGUAAAGCCCUUUUGUUGGGAAAGAAAAGCAGCAGAUUAAUACCCCGCUGUUCUGACGGUACCCAAAGAAUAAGCACCGGCUAACUUCGUG
rnacentral:rRNA from 1 species